rnacentral:rRNA from 1 species
GAGUUUGAUCAUGGCUCAGGAUAACGCUGGCGGCGUGCCUAACACAUGCAAGUCGAACGAUCCCGCAAGGGAGAGUGGCGGAAGGGUGAGUAACACGUGGGAAUCUACCUCCUCGCAGGGAACAACCUCUCGAAAGAGAGGCUAAUACCCAAAAGGGUCAGAAAUGAUCAGAGUCGAAAGGCGUGAGGAGAGGAGCCCGCGGCCCAUCAGCUAGUUGGUGAGGUAAUGGCUUACCAAGGCUACGACGGGUAGGGGAUCUGAGAGGAUGUCCCCCACACUGGAACUGAAACACGGUCCAGACGCCUACGGGUGGCAGCAGUGAGGAAUAUUGGACAAUGGGCGAAAGCCCGAUCCAGCAACGCCGCGUGGAGGAUGAAGGCCUUCGGGUCGUAAACUUCUUUAGAGGGAGACGAGAAAGGACGGUAUCCCUAGAAUAAGCGACGGCAAACUACGUG